AGCAGCCGCGGUAAUUCCAGCUCCAAUAGCGUAUAUUAAAGUUGUUGCAGUUAAAAAGCUCGUAGUUGAAUUUCGAGACCGGUUUACUGGUCGUGCUUUUGUACGUACUGGUAUUAUUGGUUUCUCCUUUCUGACGAAUCAUAAUGCCAUUAAUUUGGUGUUUUGGGGAAUCAGGACUGUUACUUUGAAAAAAUUAGAGUGUUUAAAGCAGGCUCACGCUUGAAUACAUUAGCAUGGAAUAACGAAAUAGGACGUUUGAUUUUAUUUUGUUGGUUUCUAGGAUCGACGUAAUGAUUAAUAGGGAUAGUUGGGGGCAUUAGUAUUCAAUUGUCAGAGGUGAAAUUCUUGGAUUUAUUGAAGACUAACUACUGCGAAAGCAUUUGCCAAGGAUGUUUUCAUUAAUCAAGAACGAAAGUUAGGGGAUCGAAGACGAUCAGAUACCGUCGUAGUCUUAACCAUAAACUAUGCCGACUAGGGA
rnacentral:rRNA from 1 species